UUCUAAUACAAGUAAGUUAUUAUCAAUUAUAUUUCCUUUUUUUUAUAUGUUGUGAUGUAUGAGUGUCGAGGAGAAAGUGAACACCUGGUAACUUGAGACCAUAAUGCAAUUUCAUUUCCCAUUUUAGGUUGCUUUCCUCUCUCUAAGUUAACAAAAAAACAAAGCAUCCAUUUUACAAUAAAAUUGCAAGGAUCAAAUAAAAUAAAUAUAUGAGAUUGAAACAGUUGAACACUGUCUACCAUUUCUUAGCAACUAUUAUAAUGUGUCCCUGGGCAUGGAGACAUUGAAAUUCCGAUGUCUGGCAGCUGAUUUGGCAGAUACCCAUAAAAUUAUUAACCAUCUUACAAACAAUAACUCUGAGCACCUUUUCAAACUCCACAUGUCUAACACCCGUGGACAUGUUUACAAAGUCAGAAAACAGCACAGCUCCCAUGACUUUCAGAAACAUUUUUUCAUGCUAAGAGUUGCUGAAGCAUGGAACAGACUGCCGGCAUCAGUUGUUAGUUGUCUGAGCACUGCAUCCUUCAAAAGUUCUAUGCUUCCAGAGAUUCGCCAACACUACACCUGAUUUUCUCUCCUCCAUACACACACAAGCAUGUAUCAGACUCAUACACUGUUCACUUUCCAGACAUUUGUACAUUACUGCAUAUACUAUAUGCGCACUUUUUGACAAGUUGUGGUGCACAUGAGCACUGUAUACAAUAAGUUCAUUAUUAUUAUUAUUAUUAUUAUUAUUAUUAUUAUUAUUUUUUUUUUUUUUUUUUUUAACUUAGUCAUCUGAGAUUAUGAAAUUUUAAUAACUUAUUGGAAUCAUUUCUGGAAAAUGAUUGGAAGUGAGAACUUGCAAUAAAACUAAGAAAAUGGAAAGUAAAUUGGUAGAAAAUACUGUGAUAAAUACAUUAGUCUUAAGUUUAAAAUUUACCAUGUUGUCUGAAUUACAUUCUUUAGAAGUUGAUAAAAUAGCAGUGCUGCACUGAGGAUUCAAAUCGGUUGACUCUACCAUCUGCUCUGCAUCAGGCCAGAUAAACCUGAUAUAUUUCUUCUUCACUAGUUCCUAGAUUUAUUUCCUCACUAACUACACUUACUGACCUGUUUAUUUAAUUCUUAUAGCCUAUUGCAACACUAUGUCAUCUGUUACCUAGCUCAAUAUCUAUCUUAACAUCAUGGUGAGAGAGCAUGUGAUGAUAUCUACAUAAAAAUUACAAUUGAUUGGUUGCCAGUCAUAUGAUCCAUUGUCAACAUCAAGUUCUAUAUGUUUAUAGAAUAUUUUAUUAUAACUCAAUUACAUAUUCGUUUUUUUCUUUACAUCUUCAAGCUUGUGAAGAAGGUGAGGUUAAAUGCCCUCCAGGUCGCAAUGAAACCAAUUCUGCAGAUGUAUGCAUUCGCCAAGAAAGUUUAUGUGAUGGGGAGAUUGAUUGCGAAGAUGGUACCGAUGAAGAGAUUUGUGGUAAGCAAAUAAAUAUCUUGUUUUAAUUAGAUAUCAGAUGAUUUUAUCAUAUUUAGCAAAUGUGUCAUUUAGACUACUUAUGGUAACUUUGCUUAUUAAACAAUAGAAGAUUUCAUUUAAUAAUAUAGUAUAAUUGACAAUAUAUUGCACAAAUUCAGUCAUGUAAUAGCUGAAAAACUUUUAAUCACAGGUUUGAGGGAUAGAGAUUGUCUGGGACUAAAUAUCAACAAUGAUGGCAACAGCAACAACAACAAAAUGGACAUCAUAUAUGAUUAUAAAAGUUUCAUUAGUGCAAUAAGGGUGAUGAAUUUUUUAUUUUAAUUUUCUACUGUCAGAUCAAUGUACAGAUGAACAGUGGCAAUGCAGAGAUAAGAAGUGUAUCAAGAAAGAUCUUCGUUGCAAUGGUAUUAAAGACUGUAAGGAUGGUUCAGAUGAAUUUCAUUGCUGUA
rnacentral:lncRNA from 1 species